rnacentral:rRNA from 1 species
CUGGAGUUGCUAGUAAUCGCGAAUCAGCAUGUCGCGGUGAAUACGUUCCCGGGCCUUGUACACACCGCCCGUCACACCAUGAGAGUUGGCAAUACCCAACGUACGUGAUCUAACCCGCAAGGGAGGAAGCGUCCUAAGGUAGGGUCAGCGAUUGGGGUGAAGUCGUAACAAGGUAGC